rnacentral:rRNA from 1 species
AGAGACAGCAGCCGCCGCGGUAAUACGUAGGUGGCAAGCGUUGUCCGAAAUUAUUGGGCGUAAAGCGCGCGCAGGCGGAUCGGUCAGUCUGUCUUAAAAGUUCGGGGCUUAACCCCGUGAUGGGAUGGAAACUGCCAAUCUAGAGUAUCGGAGAGGAAAGUGGAAUUCCUAGUGUAGCGGUGAAAUGCGUAGAUAUUAGGAAGAACACCAGUGGCGAAGGCGACUUUCUGGACGAAAACUGACGCUGAGGCGCGAAAGCCAGGGGAGCGAACGGGAUUAGAUACCCCUGUAGUCCCUGUCUCUUAUACC